GGAGAGGUGCCCGGAGUGGCUUAUCGGGGACCGCUGAAAGGUCGGACCCCCCAGGGGUCCACGCAGGUUCAAAUCCUGCCCUCUCCG
rnacentral:tRNA from 2 species